rnacentral:miRNA from 9 species
CAUCUUACGUGACAGCAUUAGA